UUUUAAUGAUGAAAAAAAUUGACAACACCCUUGGAUGAUGUGUCCAACCCGAGUUUGAAUCCAAGUUAUACCGUAAAAGUGUUUGUUCUUAUAUUGGAUGGGCAAUAGCAUUACAAAAUCACCUCUCCAAAUGUAAUUGUAAAGAUCUGAAUCCUUUCUCCCAGGACGAAAUCCCUUAGGUAAAACACCCCGAGGCUAAGAGGAGUGAGACAAUUAGCCCAACCGCCAGCUAAUCGUCGGGAACACCACCCCGCCGAGCAGUUUGCAUUUUAGGCGGAAUAAAUGGGUCGGCAUCUUGGUGCUUCACUAUUGCCCAUUUCAAAAAAUGGACCGUUAAAAAAGACUCCUAAUUUAAUUUUUUUUUCUUUUUAACUUUAUUCCUUAUUUAAACAACUUUUUACAUUUCAAAUCACAUUUUCUUCUUCUAUUUCUACUCUCUUCUUCCACUACUUCUAUACUUUUUAUACAUAAUUUAUCCCAACAACAAUCCGAGAAAACCUUUCAACACGCCGGGAUACCGUCCACGCCCAAACACUACAAAUCAACCGGAUUUUAACGAUUCAGACUUACUAAACAAUCCACAUGUAUUCCAAUUGCUUCAACAAAUCAACAUUAACCAACAAAUGGGGACACAACAAAUGGGUUUCGCUAAUUGGAACGCGCCACAAGAAACAUACGACUUUGGUUCCACAAAACACAUAGGGGCAACACUUUGAUCGCCAAUGUCUUAUUGAUACGCCACCACAAAGUCGUCCACUGGUGUUGAAGUCGUCUAAGAAACACAACCCAAAGUCGGCAGUUCAGCAAAAAGAAAAGGAAAUCGGCAACACAAAACGAAACACGCCGAUAAACCACAUAAAACUUUCUAUUGCAUGGACAUCGGAGGAUGAAAAGAGUUUAGCCAAAGUUUGGCUCGAAGUUACCGAAGACCAGACAGAAGCAAUUUUUAAAAAGGAAUAGACGUAUUGGGUAAGAAUUUGUGAGAAGUUGCUCGCACUCGAAGCCAAGGAGGUUGGUUAUGGUGAUGACCACAGGUUGGAACCAAAAUGGAGGAGAAUGCGUCCAAACAUUCAAAACUUUAACCAAAUUUAUACUCGUUGUACCUUUGCAAACAACCAUCAUAGCGGUGAGAGUGAUGCCGACGUGGUGAAAAGUGCCAUUGCCGAGUACUAUGGAAUUUAUGGAAAAACUUUUGAUGUCAACAAAACUCGUGGUCAACCAAGUGCGAAAAGAUUGAAAACCUCAUCCAUUAACGAUCCAAUUAGCCAAGUGUUCCAAGAGUGUGUUGGUGGUAGAGAUGCGGCUAGGAAAGCUUCGGGAGGGAAACCAAAAGGAAAGGCUAGGUACCAACAAAACAUUUGGCCAUUUGUCGGUGAAGUUGGACGAUUUGAUGGACAUUAGCAAAGAACACUUUGGUAUGGGAAAGGAGAAAAUCAGUUGGCUAAAAUGAAGCUAAAGGCGAAGGUAAGUACGAUCAAGCUCGCCGAGUUGAGAGGGUUGACCACUAACUAUAGUCACCUUGAUGAACCCGAACGAUCCAUCAUGUUAAUUGACGUAACAAAAAUCAAGGAAAAUAUGGAUAUCAUUAAUUUUAUUUAUGUUAUUGUGUUAUCUUUUUUUAAGUUUGUAGUCUUGUUUUAUAAAUGAUGGAACACUUUAUUAAUCUACUAAUGCUUUUUAGUUUAA